rnacentral:rRNA from 1 species
AGAGUUUGAUCCUGGCUCAGGACGAACGCUGGCGGCGUGCCUAACACAUGCAAGUCGAGCGGAGACAGUGAGUAGCUUGCUAUGAGCUGUUUUAGCGGCGGACGGGUGAGUAACGCGUGAGCAACCUUUCCCAGACAGGGGAAUAACACACCGAAAGGUGUACUAAUACCGCAUAAGACCACGGGAUCACAUGGUUCUGGGGUAAAAGAUUUAUCGGUUUGGGGUGGGCUCGCGUCCGAUUAGGUAGUUGGUGAGGUAAUGG